rnacentral:tRNA from 1 species
CCGGAAUGCAAGUUCGGAGAAGCACCCCCAAAAGGUGCCGGGGCUUCUCCCGUUU